AACGAACGCUGGCGGCAUGCCUAACACAUGCAAGUCGAACGGCAGCGCGGGGCAACCUGGCGGCGAGUGGCGAACGGGUGAGUAAUAUAUCGGAACAUACCCUAGAGUGGGGGAUAACGUAGCGAAAGUUACGCUAAUACCGCAUACGCACUAAGGUGGAAAGUGGGGGAUCUUCGGACCUCAUGCUCAUGGAGUGGCCGAUAUCUGAUUAGCUAGUUGGUGAGGUAAAGGCUCACCAAGGCAACGAUCAGUAGCUGGUCUGAGAGGACGACCAGCCACACUGGAACUGAGACACGGUCCAGACUCCUACGGGAGGCAGCAGUGGGGAAUUUUGGACAAUGGGGGCAACCCUGAUCCAGCAAUGCCGCGUGAGUGAAGAAGGCCUCGG
rnacentral:rRNA from 1 species